UGGGGAAUAUUGCACAAUGGGCGAAAGCCUGAUGCAGCAACGCCGCGUGAGUGAUGAAGGUCUUCGGAUUGUAGAGCUCUGUCUUUUGGGACGAUAAUGACGGUACCAAAGGAGGAAGCCACGGCUAACUACGUGCCAGCAGCCGCGGUAAUACGUAGGUGGCGAGCGUUGUCCGGAUUUACUGGGCGUAAAGGGUGCGUAGGCGGAUGUUUAAGUGAGAUGUGAAAUACCCGGGCUUAACUUGGGUGCUGCAUUUCAAACUGGAUAUCUAGAGUGCAGGAGAGGAGAAUGGAAUUCCUAGUGUAGCGGUGAANNGCGUAGAGAUUAGGAAGAACACCAGUGGCGAAGGCGAUUCUCUGGACUGUAACUGACGCUGAGGCACGAAAGCGUGGGUAGCAAAACAGGAUUAGAUACCCUGGUAGUCCACGCCGUAAAACGAUGAGUACUAGGUGUAGGAGGUAUCGACCCCUUCUGUGCCGCAGUA
rnacentral:rRNA from 1 species